rnacentral:rRNA from 1 species
CCUACGGGAGGCAGCAGUAAGGAAUAUUGGACAAUGGGCGAAAGCCUGAUCCAGCCAUGCCGCGUGAAGGAUUAAGGUCCUCUGGAUUGUAAACUUCUUUUAUGUGGGACGAAAAAAGGGCAUUCUUGCUCACUUGACGGUACCAUUUGAAUAAGCACCGGCUAACUCCGUGCCAGCAGCCGCGGUAAUACGGAGGGUGCAAGCGUUAUCCGGAUUCACUGGGUUUAAAGGGUGCGUAGGCGGGUAGGUAAGUCAGUGGUGAAAUCUCGAAGCUUAACUUCGAAACUGCCAUUGAUACUAUCUAUCUUGAAUAUUGUGGAGGUUUGCGGAAUAUGUCAUGUAGCGGUGAAAUGCUUAGAUAUGUACAUAGAACACCGAUUGCGAAGGCAGCAGGCUACACAUAUAUUGACGCUGAGGCACGAAAGCGUGGGGAUCAAACAGGAUUAGAUACCCUGGUAGUCCACGCCCUAAACGAUGAUUACUCGACAUACGCGAUACACUGUGUGUGUCGUGAGAGAAGACGAUUAAGUUAAGUACCGUACCGUUACGGGUUAAGUACGUUCCGUUCCGAAGGAGUUAGAACGUACAAGUUAGAGUUAGACGGCGUUGAGACGUUGGCCGACGGACGACGACGGAGGGGAGGUUAGG